rnacentral:lncRNA from 1 species
AUGUUGUAAGUACUAUAAUAUAAUUUAGAGACAUCCGUAGAUGUAUUCAUACGGCGAUACACAUGGAUCCUUGUGCAAUUCCACGGAAAGCGGCUUAUGGUCAGACAAAAUAAUGGCUUGGAACAUGGUGGGGGUAAGAGUGAGGUUGGGUGCGGAUGUAUGUGUCUCCUGUUGGUUACGGCUACUUUUCCGAAACUUCUGAGCAUGUAAGGCGUUUUUCCGACUCUUAAGUAGUAAAACUGUAAAGUUGAUACAGAUGUCUAAACAUUCAUAUAUGUAGGUACCGAUCAUGCAGUGACUCGAACAAUGAUCAAGGCAUAACAUAGUGUCUACAUAUACUUGAACUGAACUCAUACAUCCCUUUAUAAGCACCCUGGCUUCUUAAGAUCUUUAUAAUAAACUAUUGCCAGGUCCUAACAUAUAAAUGUGUCUAUGUAUUUAUAAUAUGGGUAUCUCUUCUGGGCGUAGGUAAUCUGAAAAGGUCGAAAACCUUCCAGAUAUGGUCAAAAUAAUUAAAUAUUUUAAGUUUGAACACUAUCUGACCACCUUUCUCGAACUACCCUUACCUCUAUAGACACCCCAGGUACCCGAUCUUGGUCUCAAAAAGUGGCACUGUUCUAUGAAUCAUUGUCACAGGGCUCGAACCGAGAUGAAAACAUUUCAGACGUACCUUCAGUCGGAGCUGUUUUAUUUCGAUCUCUUCAGAUCGUUCAGCACGACAUUUAUGUUAAGAUAGUGUAUUGUUUAUUUUUUCAGCUUGAACAUUUCGGCUUGGGUAGUUUGAAUACUCUCGCUUUUUUAACUUUUGAAAUUGUUUAAUUACCCUUAGGAUAUGGUGCCUGCUUUUCAAUUUUGUGUUUUAGCAUUUUCUGUGAUAUGCAGGCUCCAAAACAUCAGAUCCCUCUCUGAAUUCCAGUUUGUUUAGUUCUUCCCAUUGUUUUCUCAUUAGGGCAAAUCCAUUACUUUACCUGGGGACCAUACACAGCUUUUCAUGGGACUACACUCUGUGUAUCAUUGAAGGUUCCAUGUACACCGCCGUAUGAAUACAUCUGUGGGUGUCUCUGAAUUAUAUUUUGGUACUUGAAACAUGUGUAAAUGCUGAGUGUUGCUCAACCUGGGGCUAGAGGGUGUGGAUGGCAGUAUGCAUUGCCACUACCAUCCAAGGACAUGCUCAAUCAAGCCUGUAACGUUUUCAUUUACCUCGUGUUGGGGGCGACCUGUAGUUUUCCACGUGUUGUAUUUUAUUUUUUAGUUGAAAUACUGAUGUCAAAUGUGAACACUGACCGGUCACGAACUAUGACCCUCUAGUACUACACAAGGUGCCUGAUCUUGGCAAGGACCUAUACAUGCAUUUUUGUGUUGGUCGUGGGAAUUUUAAAAGUGGUCAGGAGAGUAUCGCUGACGGCUCGCAUUACGAACGUCGGAAGACAAUAACGUUCAGUUAAAACGUUCCUUGGCAUGGCUCGGUGCAUCACAGCUGAGUUGCCCAUUUUACAAAAACUGAAGGAAUUUUAUAAAGACGCCUAAACUCCACUAUAGUGUAUAAAUAAAUGAAAAUAGCAGCUGUGUGUAAACCCUGAUACUGUGGUAUGUCGUAUAAUCACAUCGCUAUUUCCGUUUGGGUUGUUCACUGUUUCUACACUGUGAUUUUGUCUUCUUCUAAAAACAAGGUAAGUUGACAGUUUUUGUUGAAAUAUAUAUCUGAUAGCUGACACAUAGGAGAAUGUUUUGGUUUAUAUCCAUCUUACAGAUUUUUUUGAAA